rnacentral:lncRNA from 1 species
CCCAGAGUCGAAGGCUCGGUGGACAAAGGAGAUCGACCGGCUUCUCUCUGUCACCGAUUUCAUCAUCGAGUUCAUUCCUUCACGCCAGGUGGCCGAGGAUGGCAGCACCAUGGAGGUCAGAAACGAAUCACCUACCCUUAUUUUCAUCACACAUGGUUGGUUAUGUUGCUUUGGAGGUCCUACAAAGAAAAUAAAUUUGUUAUUACAAUGAAGGUGAUGACUAUUUCAAUUGCGUGAGUUCAUAGUGUUACCUUCAUCACUGCCCCCUUAACCCUAACCAAGAUAAAGAUGUUAAAAUAGAUCGAAGUGGAACAAACACAUUUCACCAUGCCCAUAGCAACCAAUUUUCCAAACUCUUCAUGUUGAUUCAUAAUCAACUGGCACAACAAAACCACACUAUCAGCUUUUGGGGUUUUCCGCACUAUAAUAUAUAAUGUAUAUUUAAAAUGUAAUUAGUAAUGUCUCUAGUAAGGUCCAUGUGUCCUCAUUUGAUAGUGAAAUGAAUUCCACUAUAGCAUAGUCAUCCUACAGGUAUUCCAAGCAUCUCUGAGAAUUCUUACCAGGAUCCAAAUGACCGACCACUCUCCACAUAUAUGUAGAUUGUAGUAAACGACACGGAUAUGCCUGCAGGUUGUGUCAUUUAAGCACUAAAUAUGAAAACAAAAGAAAAAUGGAAGGUACAAUGUAUGAAUAGUAAACAGGAUGUGUUUACCUAAAACAUUUACAGAAAAUUUCCUCUGGUGUACAUAGUCUCCUUAAAGAACAAGAAUUUUUCCAACCUCCAAGUAAAUGGCGGAC